AUUGAACGCUGGCGGCAGGCCUAACACAUGCAAGUCGAACGGUAACAGGAAGCAGCUUGCUGCUUCGCUGACGAGUGGCGGACGGGUGAGUAAUGUCUGGGAAACUGCCUGAUGGAGGGGGAUAACUACUGGAAACGGUAGCUAAUACCGCAUAACGUCGCAAGACCAAAGAGGGGGACCUUAGGGCCUCUUGCCAUCGGAUGUGCCCAGAUGGGAUUAGCUAGUAGGUGGGGUAACGGCUCACCUAGGCGACGAUCCCUAGCCGGUCUGAGAGGAUGACCAGCCACACUGGAACUGAGACACGGUCCAGACUCCUACGGGAGGCAGCAGUGGGGAAUAUUGCACAAAGGGCGCAAGCCUGAUGCAGCCAUGCCGCGUGUAUGAAGAAGGCCUUCGGGUUGUAAAGUACUUUCAGCGGGGAGGAAGGGAGUAAAGUUAAUACCUUUGCUCAUUGACGUUACCCGCAGAAGAAGCACCGGCUAACUCCGUG
rnacentral:rRNA from 1 species